GAAUCCCGUCUUUGACAUGGACUGCCUGCGCAUUAUGGUGCGCUCUCGAAGAGUCGAGUUGUUUGGGAAUGCAGCUCAAAAUGGGUGGUAAAUGCCAUCUAAAGCUAAAUAUUGGCGAGAGACCGAUAGCAAACAAGUACCGUGAGGGAAAGAUGAAAAGCACUUUGGAAAGAGAGUGAAACAGUACGUGAAAUUGUUGAAAGGGAAACGCUUGAAGUCAGUCAUGCCCUUUGGGAUUCAGCCUUGCUUCUGCUUGGUUUACUUCUCUUUGGGUGGGUCAACAUCAGUUUGGGUCGGAGGAGAAAGACUUGGGGAAGGUGGCAGCAUUCGUGCUGUGUUAUAGCCCCUUGUUGUAUACUUCGAUUUGGACUGAGGACCGCAGCACGCCUUUGGCCGGGGCUCGCCCACGUACGUGCUUAGGAUGUUGGCAUAAUGGCUUUAAGCGACCCGUCUUGAAACACGGACCAAGGAGUCUAACAUGUGCGCGAGUGUUUGAGUGUUAAACUCAGACGCGAAAUGAAAGUGAAAGGUUGGGAACACUUAUGUGUGCACCGACGCCCGGAGCUGACCUUCUGUGACGCAUCUGCGGUAGAGCGUAUAUGUUGGGACCCGAAAGAUGGUGAACUAUGCCUGAAUAGGGUGAAGCCAGAGGAAACUCUGGUGGAGGCUCGUAGCGAUUCUGACGUGCAAAUCGAUCGUCAAAUUUGGGUAUAGGGGCGAAAGACUAAUCGAACCAUCUAGUAGCUGGUUCCUGCC
rnacentral:rRNA from 1 species